UACGGAGGGUGCUAGCGUUGUUCGGAAUUACUGGGCGUAAAGCGCACGUAGGCGGCUUUGUAAGUUAGAGGUGAAAGCCCGGAGCUCAACUCCGGAAUUGCCUUUAAGACUGCAUCGCUAGAAUUGUGGAGAGGUAAGUGGAAUUCCGAGUGUAGAGGUGAAAUUCGUAGAUAUUCGGAAGAACACCAGUGGCGAAGGCGACUUACUGGACACAUAUUGACGCUGAGGUGCGAAAGCGUGGGGAGCAAACAGG
rnacentral:rRNA from 1 species